UGACAAAAUACAUUUUGUCAUGAUUUUUCUAUCUUUCAAUUAUUCUAAUCUGAUAAUACAUGCUAAACACUAAACAAUAGAUUCGUUUAACUCAUGAACUACGAAUGCUACGGGUUUGUCGUAAAGGCUACAGAAAACGUUUCCGCGGAACUGCUGGAAGAGUUCAAUUUACCACAAGAAUCCGUUAUUUUCCUUGGUAAUGAGUCUUGUCAAGACAUAGCCAAAAGAUUCGUGAAUGAAGUGACAAAGAUCGCAAGAAGAGUUGCUUGAUAAAACAAAAAACACAUCAUAAUGACCAACGAAGAGGAAACAGCUCACGAGGUGACAGACUCAUGCAAUUUGUGUAAAUGUAAUUUUUCCAUCAAAAAUAAUAAAGUGAGAGAUCACUGUCACUUAUCGAGCAAAUUCAGACAAACAUCAUUGUGUAAUACCUGCAACCUUAAGCUUCAAAUACCGAAUUUCAUACCAUGCAUUUUACACAUUUUAUCGUAACCAAGUUGGGUUACGAUUCCAAAACUAUUCCGGUUAACCCAAAUAGUGAAGAAAAAUUAAUUUUCAAAACACGUGAUCGAGAACUUUUUAAUAAAAUUUAUAGACUCGUGCUGUUUCAUGGUAUCGAAACUAUCAACACUUGCAGACAAUUUAAUAACACCUGGGUUCGAGAAGUUCAAAGAGACAGCAAAACACUUUUUUACCGCAGAUAUGCAGCUCAUUACUCGUAAAGGUGUAUACCCUUAUGAAUAUACUGUUAGUUGGAAUAAGCUCGAAGAAAUGAAUUUACUAGGAAUAAGUGAUUUUUAUAGUACACUAACAGAAUCUAAUAUAGAAGAAGACCAUAAUGAAUACAACACUGUAUGGAAUCAUUUUAAAUGUAAAAAUCUCGGAGAAUAUAGUGACCUUUAUCUCAAAAUCGAUGUUUUACUAUUGACCGAUGUAUUUGAAAACCUCAGUGACAUGUGCAUUUCAACAUACAAUUUGGAUCCUGUUUACUAUUAUACCGCUCCAAGAUUCAGUUUCGACUGCAUGUUAAAAUAUACUAACAUCAAACUAGAAUUACUCACCGAAUUUUACAUACAAUUAUUUUUUGAAAACUCAUCUGCGGUGGGCACACAACAAGCUAGCAGGAGAUACGCUAAAGCUAAUAAUGAAAAUACCCUAGAUUAUGACAUGAAAUAGCCUAAAUCAUAGAUAGUUUAUCAAAACUGCAAUAACUUGUACAGGCGGGCAGUUUUUGAGAAAACCAUGGAAUCUAUGAGGAAAUGUAUUAAGAUGCAACUAGUUUCAUGCUUAAAAAGAUAACAAAAACUUCUGAAUAAACAUUGCACCACAUACAGCAAAAACCUAGCUGUUAUUUUGCUGGAAAAUAAAAUUAUCAAGUUCUGCAAACCAAUAUAUAUAGGUUUUGCAGUACUAGACAUAAGUAAGACACAGAAACAUUAUAACGACAAAAUCAAGCCAUGUACAUAAGUACAGUAUAUUAUAUCCAGACUGACGACUUUUACAGUGAUUUAGUGAAUAAUUCUAAUUUGCUCGACCGAAUGAACACAGCAAAUCUACCCCGUGAACUGUAACUAUCCAUGUUACAUUGAUAAGAGAAAGAAGAUUUUCAGACUUUUUUCUGAUGAAACUGAUGGAUGUAUAAUGAGAGACUUUGUUGCACCCCGAGCAAAAUCCUAUGCUUAAAUUUCAUGAGAUAAGGAAAAAAUUAAAGCGGAAGGCAUCAUAUCUCGUGUGGUUUUUAAUCACAUGACAUUCAAUGAUCAUUUGAAUUGUCUUUUCAAUGAUGAUUAAAAAAACAAGUUUAAUCUGUGUAGGGAAAAUAUUUGUAUCGAAUCAUUUAAACCAUCAAAUCCAACAAAGUAUGCUUCAACUGACAAGAUGACAAAUAGAUAGUACAAUCUGAUAGAAUACAUACCUACACUCAGACACUUUAAAAUUGAUUGUUAAUAUUAUGUCUAAAAGGAGAUUUAUUCACUUUUUUGUUUUAGAAAAUUAUGAUGUUAUAAAUAUUUUUUGCAAAUAUA